rnacentral:rRNA from 1 species
UAUUGAACGCUGGCGGAAUGCUUUACACAUGCAAGUCGAACGGCAGCACGGGUGCUUGCACCUGGUGGCGAGUGGCGAACGGGUGAGUAAUGCGUCGGAACGUACCGAGUAAUGGGGGAUAACGCGGCGAAAGUCGCGCUAAUACCGCAUACGCCCUGAGGGGGAAAGUGGGGGAUCGCAAGACCUCACGUUAUUCGAGCGGCCGACGUCUGAUUAGCUAGUUGGUGGGGUAAAGGCCUACCAAGGCGACGAUCAGUAGCGGGUCUGAGAGGAUGAUCCGUCACACUGGGACUGAGACACGGCCCAGACUCCUACGGGAGGCAGCAGUGGGGAAUUUUGGACAAUGGGGGCAACCCUGAUCCAGCCAUUCCGCGUGAGUGAAGAAGGCCUUCGGGUUGUAAAGCUCUUUCAGCUGGAACGAAACGGUACGCUCUAACAUAGCGUGCUAAUGACGGUACCGGCAGAAGAAGCACCGGCUAACUACGUGCCAGCAGCCGCGGUAAUACGUAGGGUGCGAGCGUUAAUCGGAAUUACUGGGCGUAAAGCGUGCGCAGGCGGAUUGUUAAGCAAGACGUGAAAGCCCCGGGCUUAACCUGGGAAUGGCGUUUUGAACUGGCAGUCUAGAGUGCGUCAGAGGGGGGUGGAAUUCCACGUGUAGCAGUGAAAUGCGUAGAGAUGUGGAGGAACACCAAUGGCGAAGGCAGCCCCCUGGGAUGACACUGACGCUCAUGUAUGAAAGCGUGGGUAGCAAACAGGAUUAGAUACCCUGGUAGUCCACGCCCUAAACGAUGUCAACUGGUUGUUGGGGGAGUGAAAUCCCUUAGUAACGAAGCUAACGCGUGAAGUUGACCGCCUGGGGAGUACGGUCGCAAGAUUAAAACUCAAAGGAAUUGACG